rnacentral:rRNA from 1 species
GACGUAGGGCGCGAGCGUUGUCCGGAUUUAUUGGGCGUAAAGAGCUCGUAGGCGGUUUGUCGCGUCGGCCGUGAAAUCUCCACGCUUAACGUGGAGCGUGCGGUCGAUACGGGCAGACUUGAGUUCGGUAGGGGAGACUGGAAUUCCAGGUGUAGCGGUGAAAUGCGUAGAUAUCGAGAGGGAACACCUGCGGCGAAGGCGGGUUGCUGGGCUGACACUGACGCUGAGGCGCGGAAAGCUAGGGAGCGAACGGG